CAAUAGCGUAUAUUAAAGUUGUUGCGGUUAAAAAGCUCGUAGUUGGAUUUCUGCCGAGGACGACCGGUCCGCCCUCUGGGUGAGUAUCUGGCUCGGCCUGGGCAUCUUCUUGGAGAACGUAGCUGCACUUGACUGUGUGGUGCGGUAUCCAGGACUUUUACUUUGAGGAAAUUAGAGUGUUUCAAGCAGGCUUACGCCUUGAAUACAUUAGCAUGGAAUAAUAAGAUAGGACCUCGGUUCUAUUUUGUUGGUUUCUAGAGCUGAGGUAAUGAUUAAUAGGGAUAGUUGGGGGUAUUCAUAUUUGGCAGUCAGAGGUGAAAUUCUUAGAUUUGCUGAAGAUGAACAACUGCGAAAGCAUUUACCAAGGAUGUUUUCAUUAA
rnacentral:rRNA from 1 species